GACGAACGCUGGCGGCGUGCUUAACACAUGCAAGUCGAACGGAAAGGCCCUGCUUUUGUGGGGUGCUCGAGUGGCGAACGGGUGAGUAACACGUGAGUAACCUGCCCUUGACUUUGGGAUAACUUCAGGAAACUGGGGCUAAUACCGGAUAGGAGCUCCUGCUGCAUGGUGGGGGUUGGAAAGUUUCGGCGGUUGGGGAUGGACUCGCGGCUUAUCAGCUUGUUGGUGGGGUAGUGGCUUACCAAGGCUUUGACGGGUAGCCGGCCUGAGAGGGUGACCGGCCACGUGGGGACUGAGAUACGGCCCAGACCCCUAGGGGGGACAGCGGGGGGGAUUUUUGCAAAAUGGGGGGAGCCCGAAUGCAGCAGCCCCGCGGGGGGGAUGGCGGCUUUGGGUUUGAAACCCUCUUCCGCCGGGAACGAACGGGGAGUGAGGGUAGGGGAUAAAGAAGCCCCGGCUAACUACGUC
rnacentral:rRNA from 1 species